rnacentral:rRNA from 1 species
AUUGAACGCUGGCGGCAUGCCUUACACAUGCAAGUCGAACGGCAGCAUGAUCUAGCUUGCUAGAUUGAUGGCGAGUGGCGAACGGGUGAGUAAUACAUCGGAACGUGCCCUGUAGUGGGGGAUAACUAGUCGAAAGAUUAGCUAAUACCGCAUACGACCUGAGGGUGAAAGUGGGGGACCGCAAGGCCUCAUGCUAUAGGAGCGGCCGAUGUCUGAUUAGCUAGUUGGUGAGGUAAAGGCUCACCAAGGCGACGAUCAGUAGCUGGUCUGAGAGGACGAUCAGCCACACUGGGACUGAGACACGGCCCAGACUCCUACGGGAGGCAGCAGUGGGGAAUUUUGGACAAUGGGCGAAAGCCUGAUCCAGCAAUGCCGCGUGUGUGAAGAAGGCCUUCGGGUUGUAAAGCACCUUUGUCCGGAAAGAAAUGGCUCUGGUUAAUACCUGGGGUCGAUGACGGUACCGGAAGAAUAAGGACCGGCUAACUACGUG